GAUGAACGCUGGCGGCGUGCCUAAUACAUGCAAGUCGAGCGAACAGACGAGGAGCUUGCUCCUCUGACGUUAGCGGCGGACGGGUGAGUAACACGUGGAUAACCUACCUAUAAGACUGGGAUAACUUCGGGAAACCGGAGCUAAUACCGGAUAAUAUAUUGAACCGCAUGGUUCAAUAGUGAAAGACGGUUUUGCUGUCACUUAUAGAUGGAUCCGCGCCGCAUUAGCUAGUUGGUAAGGUAACGGCUUACCAAGGCGACGAUGCGUAGCCGACCUGAGAGGGUGAUCGGCCACACUGGAACUGAGACACGGUCCAGACUCCUACGGGAGGCAGCAGUAGGGAAUCUUCCGCAAUGGGCGAAAGCCUUACGGAGCAACGCCGCGUGAGUGAUGAAGGUCUUCGGAUCGUAAAACUCUGUUAUUAGGGAAGAACAAAUGUGUAAGUAACUAUGCACGUCUUGACGGUACCUAAUCAGAUAGCCACGGCUAACUACGU
rnacentral:rRNA from 1 species